UGUGGAUGGAUCAUAGCAUUUGUAGCCCUUUUGGGUAGAUGAAUAUCCAAUGAGCACGCAUUUAAGUGCACGAGGAUCUAGUUUACUUCGAUGGUGAGGGUGUAUGUGGACGAAAGCAGUACAAACGAAUAUGCGGAGUGGUAAGCUCGAAUCAAGUCGGGAAUUGGGGAAGAAUUCCUGAAAUACUUGGAGUGGUGAUUUGAAGGAGAGAGUGCGACUGAGCAUUCUAUUGAUGAGAUAGGCCGAGGUUAAAAUGGCAUCUCCCCAAUAAAAUUUUGGCAUAUUUGUGAUGAACAUUAAGGCACGAGCCACCUCAAGGAGGUAUUUAUUUUCAGCUUAGCAAUGUCAUUUUGUUGUGGAGUAUCGACACAGGAACUUUGAUGAAUUAUUCCAUGUUUUUGGAGAUAUUCUUUCAAGGUGGUACUGAAAUAUUUUGUACCAUUGUCAGUACGCAAUAUUUGAAUUUGUGUCUGAAAUUGUGUUUGAAUCAUUGAAUGGAAAUUUAUAAAUAUGGAUCUGACAUCUGACUUUUCUUUUAGGAGAUAAACCCAACAUAUUCUAGUAGGAUCAUCUAUAAAUGUUACGAACCAUUUUUUGUGCGUUCGAUUUGGAAUUCGUGAAGGACCCCAUAAAUCACUGUGAAUUAAGGUGAAUGGUUUCGAAGAUUUGUAUGUAGAUUUUGGAAAGAAGGUAUGAUGAUAUUUUGCCAGUUCACAAUGUUCACAUUGAAUAUCAAAUGUCUUUUUAUUAGAAAAGAUGGAAGAAAAUACAUGACGUAAAUACUGAAAAUUGGGAUGACCCAUUCUAAAAUGCAAUAAUAAAAGCUCACUAUCUCUAGGAACAAAAGCAGAAUCACAAUUUGCAAUUUGAUUAUUCUUACUCACGUCUGCUUCCUCAAAGUAGUAAAGUCCCCCACAUUCCUUAGCACUGCCAAUCGUUUUCCCCGAUGAUAGGUCCUGAGACACGAGAAAUUUAGCUGAGCAAUUGGAAUUUUUCGUUAAUUGGCUAACUAACAAUAAGUUACAACAUAGGUUUGGAACGUGGAGAACGGACUCCAAUGUUAUAAAAUUUGAGAUUCGAAUACUCCCUUUUCCUGCUACAGGUGAGAGUGAGCCGUCUGCGAUUUUAACUUUGAUAUUGCCAGCAAAAGUGGAAUAUUCGGAAAAAAGGUGGAAGGAGCCCGUCAUAUGAUCGAACGCACCUGAGUCAAUAAUCCAAGGAAUUGUGGAUUGAGUAGUUGUAUGUAAUGCUUUUGAAGAAUUACCUUUGUGAGCUAGUGAACUUGACAAACCCGAUGAUUGGAAACUUGAAAACAUUUUAUAUAGUUGCUCCAAUUGUUCAGGAUUGAAUGCACCGCUCUGAGUAGAGGUAUUCUUUUCUUCGAUAGGAUCAACAACCGCUUGGUAACCUCGAUUUCUGUUAUUUUGUCUUGGUUUCCAGUCAGCUGGUUUUCCAUGUAGUUCCCAACAUCUAUCUGCUUUAUGCCCUGGUUCAUGACAGUGAUCACACCAAGGACGUCCCCUUUGUUGUUUUGGGCCGAACCCAUUAGUGGGUGUUCCUUUGGAAAUUAGGCCCAAUUCAAUAGAUCCAAGUCCUUUAGCUCCAUUUAGUGCUAGCCCUCCAGGUAAGUGGGCUAAACCAAACCCUUUAGUUAAUUGGGUCGAGCCACCAAGCCUAUGUUCUGUUGAUAAUAACGCAG
rnacentral:lncRNA from 1 species